GAUGAACGCUAGCGGCAGGCCUAAUACAUGCAAGUCGAACGAUAUCAUCCAGCUUGCUGGAUGAGAAAGUGGCGCACGGGUGCGUAACGCGUAUGCAACCUACCUUUAUCUGGGGGAUAGCCCGGAGAAAUCCGGAUUAAUACCGCAUAAAAUCACAGGAUGGCAUUAUCCAAUGAUCAAACAUUUAUGGGAUGAAGAUGGGCAUGCGUGUCAUUAGCUAGUUGGCGGGGUAACGGCCCACCAAGGCGACGGUGACUAGGGGAUCUGAGAGGAUGGCCCCCCACACUGGUACUGAGACACGGACCAGACUCCUACGGGAGGCAGCAGUAAGGAAUAUUGGUCAAUGGAGGCAACUCUGAACCAGCCAUGCCGCGUGCAGGAAGACUGCCCUAUGGGUUGUAAACUGCUUUUAUCCGGGAAUAAACCACAUUACGUGUAAUGUGCUGAAUGUACCGGAAGAAUAAGGAUCGGCUAACUCCGUGCCAGCAGCCGCGGUAAUACGGAGGAUCCAAGCGUUAUCCGGAUUUAUUGGGUUUAAAGAGUGCGUAGGCGGCCUGUUAAGUCAGGGGUGAAAGACGGUAGCUCAACUAUCGCAGUGCCCUUGAUACUGAUGGGCUUGAAUGGACUAGAGGUAGGCGGAAUGAGACAAGUAGCGGUGAAAUGCAUAGAUAUGUCUCAGAACACCGAUUGCGAAGGCAGCUUACUAUGGUCUUAUUGACGCUGAGGCACGAAAGCGUGGGGAUCAAACAGGAUUAGAUACCCUGGUAGUCCACGCCCUAAACGAUGAACACUCGCUGUUGGCGAUACACAGUCAGCGGCUAAGCGAAAGCGUUAAGUGUUCCACCUGGGGAGUACGCCCGCAAGGGUGAAACUCAAAGGAAUUGACGGGGGCCCGCACAAGCGGAGGAGCAUGUGGUUUAAUUCGAUGAUACGCGAGGAACCUUACCCGGGCUUGAAAGUUAGUGAAUUAUCCAGAGAUGGAUAAGUGAGCAAUCACACGAAACUAGGUGCUGCAUGGCUGUCGUCAGCUCGUGCCGUGAGGUGUUGGGUUAAGUCCCGCAACGAGCGCAACCCCUAUGUUUAGUUGCCAGCAUGUAAUGAUGGGGACUCUAAACAGACUGCCUGUGCAAACAGAGAGGAAGGAGGGGACGACGUCAAGUCAUCAUGGCCCUUACGUCCGGGGCUACACACGUGCUACAAUGGAUGGUACAGAGGGCAGCUACAUAGCAAUAUGAUGCGAAUCUCACAAAGCCAUUCACAGUUCGGAUUGGGGUCUGCAACUCGACCCCAUGAAGUUGGAUUCGCUAGUAAUCGCGUAUCAGCAAUGACGCGGUGAAUACGUUCCCGGGCCU
rnacentral:rRNA from 1 species